CAGGCUGGCGGAGAAUGAAGACAACCGGACACCUGCUGCAGAUGGGGAAUCAGUGAACUUUUAUUGUUACAGAGACAACCUCUCAACACAGCUCACAUCAGGAGAUUCCGAAGAUUUGCUGUGAGGAUGGGUAUAUAUUCUCUAAAACUUACAGGAGGGGGUUGUGAGGAAAGUGCUGCAUUAGCAGAAAAACAACUCCAUAAAAGGAAAUCGGCCUUGGGUGUUCUAGUCUCUUCGCUUGCAGAUAUCUUGCACCUGCAGGAUGAGGCGAUCGCUUCUUAUCGCUCUCAAGGCCAAAGUCGUGAGCACAUUUUUAUUACGCAGUUGCACAGUAACUUUAAAGCUGAACAAUAUUUAAAGCUGAAUAAUGUUUGAUCAGAUUAUAUUUUCUUCAAAAGGCUGCUCCAACGGAACUUAUUGUUUCGGAGGAAAACAGGAACACGGUGUACAGUCGAGUCUAAAUAGCUUAUUUACAGCUGGGCUCGUCAGGCUCUCUGUUUGGCUGCAGUGGUUAUUAUUAUAUUUACAUGCUUCCAGCUCCCGUUUCUGCUCGAUGACAACUCGUACCUUUCCUUUUUCUCCCUCCUCGCUCACAGACACAUAACGUGUAUGGCAGUCCAUUCUCCCUGCAGCACGGACUACACUGCCUAUGAUGCUACAUUCUUUAGAGCUAUGCUUGUAGCAUUCUGCCUGUUAGCUUAGCACAACAACAACAACAACAACAAAAAGGCGCUCUCUCACCCAGGAAACACAGAGAGAGAGAGCGUCACCCUGUAACCAUGGCAACCAUAACACUGCCGCCUGGAACAACAGAACGUAGCUGUCAAACAAAACCCAAACAGUCCUGACCCGCGACAACAUGAAACAGGAAAGUACCGCAGUGUAAUCCAUUUAUUUCAACAAAGUAACUGUAUUCUGAAUACCACCUUUUUAAACGGUAACUGUAACGGAAUACAGUUACUCAUAUUUUGUAUUUUAAAUACGUAACGGCGGUACAUGUAUUCCGUUACUCCCCAACACUGCUUGGUUCACAGUGCACCUUAACAAAGAGGGGCUGC
ensembl:lncRNA